CGAGCGGCGGACGGGUGAGUAAUGCUUGGGAAUAUGCCUUAUGGUGGGGGACAACAGUUGGAAACGACUGCUAAUACCGCAUGAUGUCUACGGACCAAAGUGGGGGACCUUCGGGCCUCGCGCCAUAAGAUUAGCCCAAGUGGGAUUAGCUAGUUGGUGAGGUAAUGGCUCACCAGGGCGACGAUCCCUAGCUGGUUUGAGAGGAUGAUCAGCCACACUGGGACUGGGACACGGCCCAGACUCCUACGGGAGGCAGCAGUGGGGAAUAUUGCACAAUGGGCGCAAGCCUGAUGCAGCCAUGCCGCGUGUGUGAAGAAGGCCUUCGGGUUGUAAAGCACUUUCAGUAAGGAGGAAAGGUUAAGUGUUAAUAGCACUUAGCUGUGACGUUACUUACAGAAGAAGCACCGGCUAACUCCGUGCCAGCAGCCGCGGUAAUACGGAGGGUGCGAGCGUUAAUCGGAAUUACUGGGCGUAAGGCGUACGCAGGCGGUUUGUUAAGCGAGAUGUGAAAGCCCCGGGCUCAACCUGGGAACUGCAUUUCGAACUGGCAAACUAGAGUGUGAUAGAGGGUGGUAGAAUUUCAGGUGUAGCGGUGAAAUGCGUAGAGAUCUGAAGGAAUACCGAUGGCGAAGGCAGCCACCUGGGUCAACACUGACGCUCAUGUACGAAAGGGUGGGGAGCAAACAGGAUUAGAUACCCUGGUAG
rnacentral:rRNA from 1 species